GACGAACGCUGGCGGCGUGCUUAACACAUGCAAGUCGAGCGGAAAGGCCUCCUUCGGGGGGUACUCGAGCGGCGAACGGGUGAGUAACACGUGAGUAAUCUGCCCCUCACUCUGGGAUAACUGCCUGAAAGGGUGGCUAAUACCGGAUGCGACCGUCCCCUGCAUGGGGUGGUGGUGGAAAGGGUUUCUGGUGGGGGAUGUGCUCGCGGCCUAUCAGCUUGUUGGUGGGGUAAUGGCCUACCAAGGCUUUGACGGGUAGCCGGCCUGAGAGGGUGACCGGCCACACUGGGACUGAGACACGGCCCAGACUCCUACGGGAGGCAGCAGUGGGGAAUAUUGGACAAUGGGNGGAAGCCUGAUCCAGCAACGCCGCGUGAGGGAUGACGGCCUUCGGGUUGUAAACCUCUUUGCAGCACAGACGAAGCG
rnacentral:rRNA from 1 species